rnacentral:rRNA from 1 species
GACGAACCGUGCGAACGUUAUUCGGAAUCACUGGGCUUAAAGCGCGUGUAGGCGGCCCGGCACGUCCGUCGCUGAAAUCCCCCGGCUCAACCGGGGAAGGGGCGCGGAUACGACCGGGCUGGAGGGGGGUAGGGGAAUCGGGAACUUCCGGUGGAGCGGUGAAAUGCGUUGAGAUCGGAAGGAACGCCCGCGGCGAAAGCGCGGUUCUGGACCCCACCUGACGCUGAGACGCGAAAGCCAGGGAGCGAACGGG